AAUUGAUAUUUACGCUGAAAUGUGUCAAGGACAUUUACACUGUCAUCUUUCUUUUUCCCCCCCCUUUUCUGGGUCUUGUAUUGUUAAGUUUUCUAUUGUACAGGUGCUUCCCAGAUUUAGCAUAAUUUAAGCGGGUGUAUGUAAUGGAGUGUAAAUAGAAUAAAUUAUUGCAAAAUGGGGACAGCACCAUCUAUGUGCGAGUGAUGGCAUUUAGUGAGUGAAAUAGGGACCGCCCACAACAGCGUUAAUGUGAAACGCUGUGGGUAGGUUGCACGUUCUGAGCGGUCUGGGAAUUAUCAGUUAAAAAGGGUUUAAAACAUAUAAAUAACUGCUUUAUUGUGAAUAUACAUUACAGUGAACAUGUUAUGAAUCUCUUGAAUUUGUAAUUUUGACUUUGUAUUACGAGUCCUGAUAGUAAUUUCUUUGUGUUAUCCUGUGUUUUAUGUAGGAUUGAUUUACUCCCUCUGCUACGAUCUCCGUUUUUUUGUGUCUCCAUUGUGCAGCAUUACUAGCCACACACAGGAAACAGACUGCCCAGGCAAGACAUGCCUUGAUGGAAUUUGAGGUUUCCAGUGCCAGAGGAUGCAAAGCAGCCCCAGAUCAUCAUCGAGCCACCACCAUGCUUGACUGUGGACAGAGUGUUCUUUCUUCAUUCUUCUUUCUCCAGACAUACCGUUGAUCCAAAAAGUGCCAAAAAGUUCCAUCGCUGUUUCAUCGCUCCACAGAAGAGAAUCCCAAAACUCCUGUGGCUUAUUUAUAUGAUUUUGAGCUGACAUUUCUUGUGCUUUUGGGUCAGUAGUGGUGUACAUCUUGGAUUUCUGGCAUGGAAACCUUCUGUGUUUAGUAUGCACCUUACUGUGUUCACUGAAACUUCAGUGCCCGUUGCCACUCUUGCUGCAGGUAUUUUGCAGUCACUCGAGGGUUUUUUACAACAUGACUUCUCAGAAAUCUGGUUGCUGCCGUUUAUAGCCAAUUAAGCUAAUUUCAGUGAAUGAAACUAAUGAAGCCCUUGAUUAGUUGCAUCAGGUGUGCUUGAGACAACACCUGUUUUGCAUAUUUGUGUUGUUGUGGGGGAUACUAUUCAGGGGGUUGAGUAAUUUUGAGACUGGAGAAUUCAUUAUAAGUUGCAUAUUCAGUUGAAUUUGGGGAAACCACUUGGAGCAUUUGUUGUGUUGAACUGUUUCAAUUUUGUUUGAUUUGUUCCUUGCAAACAGCUGAAAGUUUGUUGAAUUCUGGGUUGAAUAAUUUUGAUUGCAACUGUAUUGAGCUAAGUUUCUUGUAAAUAAACUAACAAAUGUAUAUACUUCAAUAAAAAUACUCCUCUAUGUGGAUCAAGUCCACAGACAUCAUGAAGAGGCUUCAAUGCUCCUUAAUGGUCCCAGGAGGGCUAUCCUUGGUGAACAUACCUAAGGGGAGAGGUCAGAUCAUGGGCAAUCCUAAUGAUCCAUAAAAGUGUUUGCUGACCAGAUUAAGGUUACUGAGACCCACCCCUGAAACCAGGCCUGGAGGUGAUGUCCAACGGUUGACAUCUGUAGCAUCUGUAGACCAAGCCACCCAUGUAACAUAGUUGUGCUCAGCCUGAAAAAGCAACCAUCAAAAUUGAACCAUCCUGUGAACAUACAACCUGCAAGAUGAAGGAUGGGGAUCAGGUGUAAUGCCAUUUGAGCCGCAGGAUUAUGAUGGACUUUGGACUAGACCGUUGUAAUGGAAACUGGCUUUGGGAAUGUGGAAGGUCACUUUAUUGGUGGGCAAAUAGCCUGAGUUAGUGUGUGAUAGAAAAUAUGGACUGGAUAAAGUUGGCCUUACAUCCCCACAGAAUUCCUAGAAUGCCUUUGUAUGGUGUAGCAUUAUGAUUUUCCUUCACUGGAACUAAGGGGCCCAAAUGUUUCAGCAUGACAAUGCCCCUGUGCACAAACCAAGUUAGAUAAUGACAUGGUUUGCCAAAAGUGAUCUGUAAGAACUCAAGUGGCCCAAACCUUGACUUUAAUCCCACUGAACACUUUUGGGACAAAUUGGAACAUUGACUGCUGAUCAAGCCUGCUCACUUGAAAUCAGUGCCUGACCUAACUAUUUUUAUGCUGCAUUCAACUAAAACUUAUGAAUUUCCAACCUCUGAUUAGCAAAAACCCAACUAAAUGCCCCCCUCAACUCGGAAUUCCUACAUGUGAACUCAGGAAUUUCUCCUCAAUGCAGAACUCAGCUAGUAACAUUAAAUCAACAUCGCUGCUCACAGCAUCAACAGUAGACAAAGUGGGAGUUUGCUUUAGAUCAAUCAACAUACAGACUUAUUAGCUGGUUAAAUCUAUAACACUGACUAUACAGUUCGCUGUUUGAGGAGGCAAAUAUUCACAGUUAGUGCUAGCAUGUUUCUAACAAAGAUAACCAUGGAGUCAUAUGGCUCCUACUGGGUUAUGUAUAUUUGUUUAGCAAUUUCUGAGAGGUUUAUAGAAUAUUGCUAAUGUUUGAAUUGGGUGUACAUAGAUGGUAGUUUUACUUACAGAAUCUCACUGUUCAUCUCUAUGUUGUGUUUUUCACAUACGCUGAAAUACUGGCAUUAUCUGUAGUUAACAUGGUAGCAAUAAUUUAAGUAUCCUGCACAUGUGUGCAUUGAACUCUUUGCUGCAGUUUAUUCUCAUUGUAUGUAUAUACGAUUGUAUGUAUGUAUGCAUGUAUGUUGGAUUUUUUUUAUUUUUUUUAUUUUGAGGGCCAAAUAAUACAAAAACCAUAUCCAUGUAGAACAGAAAUGCACAUAUUUAACCAUAUGGACCUCCAAACCUUAGCAGCCUCCAAACCUUAGCAUUCUCACUGUCUCACAGGAUUUGGCACACUUUAGUGCACAAGCAUUUCACACUCAACUCAGCAUUAAUCCACUCAUCUGAAAUGUGCUGCAUAAUUCAGGGGAGCUGUAAAAUCCACAUCAGGGGUUUUAGAGCUCCAUGGCCCUCAUACUAACACAUGGCAUCCUGGGGGAGAGACAGGACCUUGUUUGGCCAUCUUCUAAUAACACACUUAGCCAUCUAACACACUGUUUAGUGUUCCUUCAUGUACACACUUGCACAGGAUUUUAUUGCCCUAGUGCUAUUGAAGUCUUGUGUGUGUUUUAUUGCACCCAUAUUUCAUUUUGGCCUACUUUCCCUAAAUUGCCUGUGGGGUUUGGUGAGAGGAGUGGAGCGUGGCUGCUUCUAAAUGAGAUGGGGAAAAAGAGAGUGAGUGACUGAAUGUGUGUGUGUGUGUGUGAGAGAGAGAGAGAGAGAGAGAGAGAGAGAGAGAGAGAGCAUGCUUAAUUGUGGCACUGACUUGUGAAAAAUAGUUGAAUGGACUUUGAGAGAGUGGGAAAGCGGAGAGGGAGUGGAGUGACAGUCUGGCCAUUCUGAGUAAGUGAGGGUCAUUGUGUUGUGUGUGGGAGGGAGAGAAAAACACAAUUCUGGCUAUAAAGGGGAAUCCUGCCUUUUGAGGAGAGUAAAUUGUGGUAUUUUAAAGCUCUGCAGGAGUCUACUAAUUACUCAUAGUCCUCAAGGCCUUUUCAAAACCUUGCUAAGGGCAAUUAAAGGCAACUAGAUGUCUAUGCAAUGCCAUUCUGAGAAUGUUCUAUAGAAAUAUGCAGCUAUUUAAUCUGAGAGACAUACAUGUGUUUUUUUUGGAUUCUACAUAAACAUUCAUUGAAGUCAUUCAUGCAACACGGAAACAUAAUAUUCACAGGUUAAUAUUUGCCAUGCUUGACCUAGGUUUAAUAGUCAAUAAAAAUGGCCCUAUUUCAAAAAAGAUAUGUGGUGAGUAAAAUUUUUCAGUAAAGACUAGAUUGUAGCUUUUCUGUAGAAAUUCUGCUAUUUAUAGUCUAUAGUACAACUAACUUCCAUCUUGGAAAUUGAACAGCAAAUAAAUAAGAAUACUUUAUAGAUUAAAAAAAGAGAAAUUUAUCAUUUAAACACAUUAUAAUUCACUGCUAAAAUGUAAAGCUACAGAUGGAUUUGCAGUUGGUUCCAAGCAAUAGGACACGAUUUAAAGUAAGUUUUUAUGCCAAAUGUCAUGUCACAGCAAACCAGUGACUACAUUUCCCAUCCUGCACUGUGGCCGACAAACAAAUGUGGAACUACACUUCCCACACACACACACACACACACACACACACACACACACACACACACACACACGGCCACCUUCUCCAGAACUCUGAUUGCACACACCUGCACCCAACCUCACACACAAUCACAAACACAGCAUAUAAGAGACUUUGUGAACAUUUAGAUUUUGUGAAGUAUAUGUUCAGCUGCCUAGUCUCUGUCAUUGUCCAACCCUUGUUGUCGUGUUUGCCAUUCUGAGAUUUUACCUCUGUUUACUCUAUUGACUUCGAUUCUCUGCCCUGCUUAGUUUUGCCUAUUUGCCUGAUCACCUGACCUCUGCCUGUUUUUUGACUAUGGAUUUCUGCCUUAUCCUUGGACUUUGUUUUAUUAAAUCUGCCAAACCUGCACUUGCUUCCAUCUCAGCCUCCAUUUCGUGACACCAAAUAAUUGAUAAAUUGAAAAGCUAAUAUGAUUUGGGUGAUUUAGAAGUAUCUAAGAAUCUUUGAAACAGCACAUCAAACAGCUAUCAUGCUAACAUACCAAGAAA